rnacentral:lncRNA from 1 species
UUUUAUUUUUAUAUUUAAAUAUGUUUAUUUGACCUAAUUUUACAUGUUAAGGUUCAAUUCUUGAUCUUCCCAUUUGAAUUUUGAUCCAAUUUUUGAUACACAUAUAGACACAUGUAUAUAGGUCAUUUGAAUUUUCAUUUUGUGUUUUUAUUAUCAACUUUGGAUCAUUUUUAAACUUAUUUUUGAAGAUUACUUGGUAUAAUUAAUUAG